GAGGGUAUAGCUCAAGUGGUAGAGCACAUGCUUAGCAUGCAUGAGGUCCUGGAUUCAAUCCCCAGUACCUCCC
rnacentral:tRNA from 1 species